UUUGUCUAUAUAUACAAGAGUUUGAAAUAAUCAAUAGCUACAAUUAAGGACUACUGAAAAAAAGGAACAAAAGAAAGAAAGAGCUAAAUAAGGAAAACAACUAGUCCUUGCUUGCUGCUAGCUUGUCAUACGUUAAGAAAUAAUCAAUGGCUGCAAGGAAGGACCAAAGAAAGGAAGGAGCAAAAGAAAGAAAGAGUUAAAUAAGAAAAAUAGCUAAUCCUUGCUUGCUGCUGGCC
rnacentral:lncRNA from 1 species